rnacentral:rRNA from 2 species
CAAGUCGAGGGGAAACGACAUCGAAAGCUUGCUUUUGAUGGGCGUCGACCGGCGCACGGGUGAGUAACGCGUAUCCAACCCGCCCACCACUUGGGGAUAACCUUGCGAAAGUAAGACUAAUACCCAAUGACGUCUCUAGAAGACAUCUGAAAGAGAUUAAAGAUUUAUCGGUGAUGGAUGGGGAUGCGUCUGAUUAGCUUGUUGGCGGGGUAACGGCCCACCAAGGCAACGAUCAGUAGGGGUUCUGAGAGGAAGGUCCCCCACAUUGGAACUGAGACACGGUCCAAACUCCUACGGGAGGCAGCAGUGAGGAAUAUUGGUCAAUGGACGAGAGUCUGAACCAGCCAAGUAGCGUGCAGGAUGACGGCCCUAUGGGUUGUAAACUGCUUUUAUAAGGGAAUAAAGUGAGUCUCGUGAGACUCUUUGCAUGUACCUUAUGAAUAAGGACCGGCUAAUUCCGUGCCAGCAGCCGCGGUAAUACGGAAGGUCCGGGCGUUAUCCGGAUUUAUUGGGUUUAAAGGGAGCGUAGGCCGGAGAUUAAGCGUGUUGUGAAAUGUAGACGCUCAACGUCUGCACUGCAGCGCGAACUGGUUUCCUUGAGUACGCACAAAGUGGGCGGAAUUCGUGGUGUAGCGGUGAAAUGCUUAGAUAUCACGAAGAACUCCGAUUGCGAAGGCAGCUCGCUGGAGCGCAACUGACGCUGAAGCUCGAAAGUGCGGGUAUCGAACAGGAUUAGAUACCCUGGUAGUCCGCACGGUAAACGAUGGAUGCCCGCUGUUGGUCUGAAUAGGUCAGCGGCCAAGCGAAAGCAUUAAGCAUCCCACCUGGGGAGUACGCCGGCAACGGUGCAACUCAAAGGAAUUGACGGA